rnacentral:rRNA from 1 species
GAUGAACGCUGGCGGAGUGCCUAACACAUGCAAGUCGAGCGGCAGCGCGAGUAGUUUACUACUUGGCGGCGAGCGGCGGACGGCUGAGUAACGCGUGGGAACAUGCCCCAAAGUGAGGAAUAACUGCCCGAAAGGGUAGCUAAUGCCGCAUACGAUCUUCGGAUUAAAGGAUUUAUCCGCUUUGGGAGUGGCCUGCGUACGAUUAGAUAGUUGGUGAGGUAAUGGCUCACCAAGUCUACGAUCGUUAACUGGUUUGAGAGGAUGAUCAGUCAGACUGGAACUGAGACACGGUCCAGACUCCUACGGGAGGCAGCAGUGAGGAAUCUUCCACAAUGGACGAAAGUCUGAUGGAGCAACUCCGCGUGCAGGAUGAAGGCCUUCGGUCGUAAACUGCUUUAUGAGUGAAGAAUAUGACGGUAACUCAUGAAUAAGGGUACGGCUAACUACGUGCCAGCAG